CGCACGGGUGAGUAACACGUAUCCAACCUGCCGUCUACUCUUGGCCAGCCUUCUGAAAGGAAGAUUAAUCCAGGAUGGCAUCAUGAGUUCACAUGUCCGCAUGAUUAAAGGUAUUUUCCGGUAGACGAUGGGGAUGCGUUCCAUUAGAUAGUAGGCGGGGUAACGGCCCACCAGUCAACGAUGGAUAGGGGUUCUGAGAGGAAGGUCCCCCACAUUGGAACUGAGACACGGUCCAA
rnacentral:rRNA from 1 species